rnacentral:lncRNA from 1 species
GCUGAUGACAGUACUGUUGGCCUUGCCUGGCUGUAUGCACAGCAGAGCUGAUGACCGUACUGUUGGCCUUGCCUGGCUGUAUGCACAGCAGAGCUGAUGACAGUACUGUAGGCCUUGCCUGGCUGUAUGCACAGCAGGUGACAGUACUGUUGGCCUUGCCUGGCUGUAUGCACAGCUGAUGACCGUACUGUUGGCCUUGCCUGGCUGUAUGCACAGCAGGUGACAGUACUGUUGGCCUUGCCUGGCUGUAUGCACAGCAGAGCUGAUGACAGUACUGUUGGCCUUGCCUGGCUGUAUGCACAGCAGAGCUGAUUACAUUUACAUUUUGGUCAUUUAGCCGGCGCUGUAUGCCAGAGCGACUUACAGUAGUGAAUGCAUACAUUUCAUACAUUUUUUUCCUGUGCUGGCCCCGCUGGAUCGAACCCACAACCCUGGCGUUGCAAACACCUUGCUCUACCAGCUGUAG